rnacentral:piRNA from 2 species
UAGCAAGUUCAGCCUUCCCAGGUCUAGUU